rnacentral:rRNA from 1 species
UACAGAGGUCUCAAGCGUUGUUCGGAUUCAUUGGGCGUAAAGGGUGCGUAGGCGGCGCGGUAAGUCGGAUGUGAAAUCUCGGAGCUUAACUCCGAAACUGCAUUCGAUACUGCCGUGCUUGAGGACUGGAGAGGAGACUGGAAUUUACGGUGUAGCGGUGAAAUGCGUAGAUAUCGUAAGGAAGACCAGUGGCGAAAGGCGGGUCUCUGGACAGUUCCUGACGCUGAGGCACGAAGGCCAGGGGAGCAAACGGG